rnacentral:rRNA from 1 species
UACGUAGGGGGCAAGCGUUGCUCGGAAUGACUGGGCGUAAAGGGCGCGUAGGCGGUUUGUACAGUCAGGUGUGAAAUUCCCGGGCUCAACCUGGGGGCUGCACUUGAUACGUAUGGACUGGAGUGGGGAAGAGGGUCGUGGAAUUCCCAGUGUAGAGGUGAAAUUCGUAGAUAUUGGGAAGAACACCGGUGGCGAAGGCGGCGACCUGGUCCUUGACUGACGCUGAGGCGCGAAAGCGUGGGGAGCAAACAGG